rnacentral:rRNA from 1 species
UGAGUGGCGGACGGGUGAGUAACGCGUGGGUAACCUGCCUCGUACAGGGGGAUAACAGUUAGAAAUGACUGCUAAUACCGCAUAAGCGCACAGUGCUGCAUGGCACAGUGUGAAAAACUCCGGUGGUAUGAGAUGGACCCGCGUCUGAUUAGCUAGUUGGUGGGGUAACGGCCUACCAAGGCGACGAUCAGUAGCCGGCCUGAGAGGGUGAACGGUCACAUUGGGACUGAGACACGGCCCAAACUCCUACGGGAGGCAGCAGUGGGGAAUAUUGCACAAUGGGGGAAACCCUGAUGCAGCGACGCCGCGUGAGCGAAGAAGUAUUUCGGUAUGUAAAGCUCUAUCAGCAGGGAAGAAAAUGACGGUACCUGACUAAGAAGCACCGGCUAAAUACGUGCCAGCAGCCGCGGUAAUACGUAUGGUGCAAGCGUUAUCCGGAUUUACUGGGUGUAAAGGGAGCGUAGACGGUUGUGUAAGUCUGAUGUGAAAGCCCGGGGCUCAACCCCGGGACUGCAUUGGAAACUAUGUAACUAGAGUGUCGGAGAGGUAAGCGGAAUUCCUA